GCCCAAGCUACGCAACAACCAAAGGAGUUCCCUGGAAACAGUCAAAGCAACUCGACACUGGAGGGGCUCAGGAGGGCUGAGGCCACCCACACAGGCUGCUGUGAAGCUGUGAGAGGAAGCUCAGCUCACCAGGCCUCUGGUUUCAUAAAACACAACCGGAGCGACCCCGUCUUGAAGACCCUCUUUUUCCAGCAGCAAAGCAACACAGGAGGGAGGCUGGACGCGCUGACCAGAACUCUCCUCGCCCUCGUCUGAGCACAGGCUGACAGACACCGACCCUCUAGCCUGAGGCCAAAGCCACAGCGUGACAGGGAAGGAGGAAAGCGCGGGACUCGUGGGCCUCCUAAAGCCACAGCGUGACAGGGAAGGAGGAAAGCGCGGGACUCGUGGGCCUCCAUGCAGGGAAAAACGCUCCAGGACGCUAGGGGAGACCAGCACUGACUGCUGAGGCGGCAGCGUUUCCUUUUGGGGUGAUUAGAACGUUCUGGAAUUAGACAAUGGUGACGACUGCACAAUCUGUGAAUAUACUAAAACACACUGAAAUGUACA
rnacentral:lncRNA from 1 species